rnacentral:rRNA from 1 species
UGCAAGUCGUACGCUUCUUUUUCCACCGGAGCUUGCUCCACCGGAAAAAGAAGAGUGGCGAACGGGUGAGUAACACGUGGGUAACCUGCCCAUCAGAAGGGGAUAACACUUGGAAACAGGUGCUAAUACCGUAUAACAAUCGAAACCGCAUGGUUUUGAUUUGAAAGGCGCUUUCGGGUGUCGCUGAUGGAUGGACCCGCGGUGCAUUAGCUAGUUGGUGAGGUAACGGCUCACCAAGGCCACGAUGCAUAGCCGACCUGAGAGGGUGAUCGGCCACAUUGGGACUGAGACACGGCCCAAACUCCUACGGGAGGCAGCAGUAGGGAAUCUUCGGCAAUGGACGAAAGUCUGACCGAGCAACGCCGCGUGAGUGAAGAAGGUUUUCGGAUCGUAAAACUCUGUUGUUAGAGAAGAACAAGGAUGAGAGUAACUGUUCAUCCCUUGACGGUAUCUAACCAGAAAGCCACGGCUAACUACGUGCCAGCAGCCGCGGUAAUACGUAGGUGGCAAGCGUUGUCCGGAUUUAUUGGGCGUAAAGCGAGCGCAGGCGGUUUCUUAAGUCUGAUGUGAAAGCCCCCGGCUCAACCGGGGAGGGUCAUUGGAAACUGGGAGACUUGAGUGCAGAAGAGGAGAGUGGAAUUCCAUGUGUAGCGGUGAAAUGCGUAGAUAUAUGGAGGAACACCAGUGGCGAAGGCGGCUCUCUGGUCUGUAACUGACGCUGAGGCUCGAAAGCGUGGGGAGCAAACAGGAUUAGAUACCCUGGUAGUCCACGCCGUAAACGAUGAGUGCUAAGUGUUGGAGGGUUUCCGCCCUUCAGUGCUGCAGCUAACGCAUUAAGCACUCCGCCUGGGGAGUACGACCGCAAGGUUGAAACUCAAAGGAAUUGACGGGGGCCCGCACAAGCGGUGGAGCAUGUGGUUUAAUUCGAAGCAACGCGAAGAACCUUACCAGGUCUUGACAUCCUUUGACCACUCUAGAGAUAGAGCUUCCCCUUCGGGGGCAAAGUGACAGGUGGUGCAUGGUUGUCGUCAGCUCGUGUCGUGAGAUGUUGGGUUAAGUCCCGCAACGAGCGCAACCCUUAUUGUUAGUUGCCAUCAUUUAGUUGGGCACUCUAGCAAGACUGCCGGUGACAAACCGGAGGAAGGUGGGGAUGACGUCAAAUCAUCAUGCCCCUUAUGACCUGGGCUACACACGUGCUACAAUGGGAAGUACAACGAGUCGCGAAGUCGCGAGGCUAAGCUAAUCUCUUAAAGCUUCUCUCAGUUCGGAUUGUAGGCUGCAACUCGCCUACAUGAAGCCGGAAUCGCUAGUAAUCGCGGAUCAGCACGCCGCGGUGAAUACGUUCCCGGGCCUUGUACACACCGCCCGUCACACCACGAGAGUUUGUAACACCCGAAGUCGGUGAGGU